rnacentral:misc_RNA from 1 species
AACGCACAUUGCGCUCUCUGGUAUUCCGGGGAGCAUGCCCGUUUCAGAAUCAUUAACACACUCUGUCUCAUCCAUUAAUCAUGGGUUGAGCCGGGACGGUGGAUGUUUUGUGCUGUACACUGGGUGCAAUCAUCCUAAUAUCAUUCUGCAUUGCCCUCGACCAUCCUGGUGGGCUUUCCAAGGUGCAACAGAAUAUCAUCUUUACACUUUGGAGGGAGACUAGGGGCGUCUUGGGAUUUAAUGGCAGUCCAUUGUCUAUCUGGGUAUUGGAAGUGGUGGUGUAGGCUUGUAGCCUGCAGCAGCAGCUCUCACAUGCUCAUUGUUUUGGUCUGAAAUCGGGCAAGAAAACCCGCUGAACUUAA